GCCUGGGGGGCUCAGCUGGUUAAGCGUCCGACUUUGACUCAGGUCAUGAUCGCAUGGUUUAUGGGUUCGAGCCCCAUGUCAGGCU
rnacentral:tRNA from 1 species